AUGCAACCGAUUAAGCCAACCAGGUUUCUUUACUCUAGGAGGCCUGGUCUGUAGUGGCUGUGAACAGCAUCUUCCUUGGUAGGAAGGAUAGCAAGCCUAUUUUCUAUGUGGAUUGCCCUAAGAGACCUUGGAGGCAAUG